GUCAAAAUACCGGUUAUGACUUAAUUAACUUAAAUGUGUGUCUAUAUGACAUUUAGGUUAGUAUGAUGAUUAUCCCUAUGGGCUUAUUUGUUUUUAUAGCUAUGCACACUUUUCAUUCUUGAGAACCCCAAGGAACAAAAUGUUAUUGGCAUCCUCUCCAGCAACAAAGAACAGCUGCAUCUGUUUGGGACAUUUCCCAGGCCGCUCCUUCCUCCAUGUGUGAUGGAUACCGUUGAUCUGUCGACCCAGCCCUGAAGAGGGAGCUUGGAUUCUCACCAGCCUCCUUUGCCAGCACUCAUGCAGCUGCUGGGUAUGCCAGAACCAGAGGAUAAAGAUGGAAAGACAAGAACUGCUGGGGCCAUUUUGCUGCUAGGAUGGAAAGAGCUCAAGGAGGAAGCCAAUGCGAAGAGACGUGUGCAGCUAAGUGGAUCCCAGUCUGAGGAGUGGGGUAC
rnacentral:lncRNA from 1 species